CGCGUAGGCGGGAUGGUAAGUCGGUCGUGAAAUCCCUCGGCUCAACCGAGGAACGUCGAUCGAUACUACUGUUCUUGAGGGUUGCAGAGGAGACUGGAAUUCCCGGUGUAGCGGUGAAAUGUGUAGAGAUCGGGAGGAACACCGGUGGCGAAGGCGGGUCUCUGGGCAAUUCCUGACGCUGAGGCGCGAAAGCGUGGGGAGGCAAACG
rnacentral:rRNA from 1 species